rnacentral:rRNA from 1 species
UACGUAGGGGGCAAGCGUUGUCCGGAAUCAUUGGGCGUAAAGAGCGUGUAGGCGGCUCGGUAAGUCCGCUGUGAAAGUCCAGGGCUCAACCCUGGAAUGCCGGUGGAAACUGUCGAGCUAGAAUCCGGAAGAGGCGAGUGGAAUUCCUGGUGUAGCGGUGAAAUGCGCAGAUAUCAGGAGGAACACCAAUGGCGAAGGCAGCUCGCUGGACGGUAUUGACGCUGAGACGCGAAAGCGUGGGAGCAA